GCCGCCACCAAUAUAUCGGAAGCCUUGUAUUUAACAGUCUGCUGCUUUUCGUAGCUAGGCAACGCUUGAUUGAUGCUGGGAAAUGCUCCUUAUGGUGCCUAACCAGCAGCCGCUAUGCUAGUCCGCUAGCAUUUCGGUUCACAGAUCAUCUUCAGGCGGUCCCUUUGAGAUUAAGAUAUGACCGGUCCCGCUAAGACAUCAGCGGAAUCAUCGUUCCGUAGGUGAA
rnacentral:rRNA from 1 species